GUGCUCGCUUCGGCAGCACAUAUACUAAAAUUGGAAAGAUACAGAGAAGAUUAACAAUGGCUCCUGCGCAAGGAUGACACGCAAGUUCGUGAAGCAUUCCAUAUUUCU
ensembl:snRNA Gm25404 predicted gene, 25404